rnacentral:rRNA from 1 species
GUGCCAGCAGCCGCGGUAAUACGAAGGGUGCAAGCGUUAAUCGGAAUUACUGGGCGUAAAGCGCACGCAGGCGGUCUGUCAAGUCGGAUGUGAAAUCCCCGGGCUCAACCUGGGAACUGCAUCCGAAACUGGCAGGCUAGAGUCUUGUAGAGGGGGGUAGAAUUCCAGGUGUAGCGGUGAAAUGCGUAGAGAUCUGGAGGAAUACCGGUGGCGAAGGCGGCCCCCUGGACAAAGACUGACGCUCAGGUGCGAAAGCGUGGGGAGCAAACAGGAUUAGAUACCCUGGUAGUCC